GUAGGGAAUAUUGCACAAUGGAGGAAACUCUGAUGUAGCGACGCCGCGUGAGUGAUGAAGGCCUUCGGGUCGUAAAGCUCUGUCGCAGGGGAAUAACACAAUGAAGGUACCCUGUAAGAAAGGAUCGGCUAACUUCGUGCCAGCAGCCGCGGUAAGACGAGGGAUCCUAGCGUUGUUCGGAAUCAUUGGGCGUAAAGCGGAUGUAGGUGGCUAUGUAAGUCAGAUGUGAAAGCCUGGGGCUCAACCCCAGAAGUGCAUUUGAUACUGCGUAGCUUGAGUGUCGGAGAGGUUACUAGAAUUGUUGGUGUAGUGGUGAAAUACGUAGAUAUCAACAGGAAUACCGGAGGCGAAGGCGGGUAACUGGCCGAACACUGACACUGAGAUCCGAAAGCGUGGGGAUCAAACAGGAUUAGAAACCCUAGUAGUCC
rnacentral:rRNA from 1 species